UUCCAGACUCCUACGGGAGGCAGCAGUGGGGAAUAUUGCACAAUGGGGGAAACCCUGAUGCGGCGACGCCGCGUGAGCGAAGAAGUACCUCGGUAUGUAAAGCUCUAUCAGCAGGGAAGAAAGUGACAGUACCUGACUAAGAAGCCCCGGCUAACUACGUGCCAGCAGCCGCGGUAAUACGUAGGGGGCAAGCGUUAUCCGGAUUUACUGGGUGUAAAGGGAGCGUAGACGGCUGCGCAAGUCAGAAGUGAAAGCCCGGGGCUCAACCGCGGGACUGCUUUUGAAACUGUGUAGCUAGAGUGCAGGAGAGGUAAGUGGAAUUCCUAGUGUAGCGGUGAAAUGCGUAGAUAUUAGGAGGAACACCGGUGGCGAAGGCGGCCUGCUGGACUGCAACUGACGUUGAGGCCCGAAAGCGUGGGGAGCAAACAGGAUUAGAUACCCGUGUA
rnacentral:rRNA from 1 species